UACGUAGGGUCCGAGCGUUGUCCGGAAUUACUGGGCGUAAAGAGCUCGUAGGUGGUUUGUCGCGUUGUUCGUGAAAACUCACAGCUCAACUGUGGGCGUGCGGGCGAUACGGGCAGACUAGAGUACUGCAGGGGAGACUGGAAUUCCUGGUGUAGCGGUGGAAUGCGCAGAUAUCAGGAGGAACACCGGUGGCGAAGGCGGGAUCUCUGGGCCGUAAGCUGAACGCUGGAGGAGCGAAAGCAUGGGGGAGCGAACAGG
rnacentral:rRNA from 1 species